AGUGAACGCUGGCGGUAGGCCUAACACAUGCCAGUCGAACGGCAGCACAGUAAGAGCUUGCUCUUACGGGUGGCGAGUGGCGGACGGGUGAGGAAUACAUCGGAAUCUACUUUUUCGUGGGGGAUAACGUAGGGAAACUUACGCUGAUACCGCAUACGACCUACGGGUGAAAGCAGGGGAUCUUCGGACCUUGCGCGAUUGAAUGAGCCGAUGUCGGAUUAGCUAGUUGGCGGGGUAAAGGCCCACCAAGGCGACGAUCCGUAGCUGGUCUGAGAGGAUGAUCAGCCACACUGGAACUGAGACACGGUCCAGACUCCUACGGGAGGCAGCAGUGGGGAAUAUUGGACAAUGGGCGCAAGCCUGAUCCAGCCAUACCGCGUGGGUGAAGAAGGCCUUCGGGUUGUAAAGCCCUUUUGUUGGGAAAGAAAAGCAGCAGGUUAAUACCCCGCUGUUCUGACGGUACCCAAAGAAUAAGCACCGGCUAACUUCGUG
rnacentral:rRNA from 1 species